rnacentral:rRNA from 1 species
GACGAACGCUGGCGGCGUGCUUAACACAUGCAAGUCGAACGGAAAGGCCCUGCUUUUGUGGGGUGCUCGAGUGGCGAACGGGUGAGUAACACGUGAGUAACCUGCCCUUGACUUUGGGAUAACUUCAGGAAACUGGGGCUAAUACCGGAUAGGAGCUCCUGCUGCAUGGUGGGGGUUGGAAAGUUUCGGCGGUUGGGGAUGGACUCGCGGCUUAUCAGCUUGUUGGUGGGGUAGGGGCUUACCAAGGGUUUGACGGAUAGCCGGCCUUGGAGGGGGGCCGGGCUCCAGGGGACUGAGGGAGGGACCAGAAGCCUACGGGAGGCAGCAGGGGGGAAUAUUGCAGAAUGGGCGGAAGCCUGUGGCAGCAACGCCGCGUGCGGGAUGACGGCCUUCGGGUUGUAAACCGCUUUCGCCUGUGACGAAGCGUGAGUGACGGUAAUGGGUAAAGAAGCACCGGCUAACUACGUG